UUAACCAGGUAACAUCAUUACCACUUCGGGGCCCCUUGUCGAUGGACAUCACCCGAAACCUCUACCUCUGAUGUCUUCCUUCUACAUCAACUGAUCUCCUGAAUCUCGGAGGCCUCUGCCUUUUGAAUCUGACCCAGUAAUGGAAGAAAUCAUUCAUCGUUCAGCAAGAGGAGGAAAGAGGGAAGAGGAAGAAAAAACACAACAAGACCCGGCAACACAAUGGCAUCUCUUGUUAUGUCUCCUGGCUCUCUGGCUGCUCCAAGGAAGGAUAGAGUAACUCUGCUGGUCUGUCUACUGAAAUGGUGCCUGGCUGAUGACUGGGAGGGAUCAGGGCAUGUCUGUGGGGUUUGCCUUUCAUGGGCCUUGAAUGACCCGAGAGAAACUGGAUGUGGCUCUCUCUUGGGCUCCAAGGGGAAAUUUGAGAUAUGUCCCCCUCUACUUUCUCCUUUUACAACUCCCGACUUAAAAAAAAAAUACUGCUCUAUUCACAACGGUAAGAUUACAGGUGUUUCUGUUUGAUUUCCUUCUCAGUCCCCCUCUCCCAGAGUAUUGUCCUACAUUUUCACCUGCUCCCACUGCCAUACAACCUUUCCUGCUCUCACAACAUUUGCAUCAAGUAAUGUUUGCUUUGCUUGUUUCAGAGCAAAACCUUUUCUUUAUGCUUGUUCUGACAGCAAUGGAGGCUAUGUAUUUUGAACAUUAAUUCAUUUUUAAAUAUAUAUUUUUUCACCUUUAUUUAACUAGGCAAGUCAGUCAAUAACAAAUUCUUAUUUACAAUGACGGCCUGCCGGGGAACAGUGGGUUAACUGCCUUGUUCAGGGGCAGAUUUUUACCUUGUCAGCUCAGGGGAUUUGGUCCAGCAACCUUUUGGUUACUGGCUCAACGCUCUAUCCACUAGGCUACCUGCCGCCCCAAAAGAAAGAAAUCAAACAAUAUUUUACUUGUAGACUGUCAAACAUCUACUACUGAAAGUAAUGUUACUUCACAUGAAAGGGCUAAUGUAAUCGGACAAUAUGUAUAUGGUAAAAUAACACAAUACUAAUUUUUAAAUGCUAUGAUAGUGUAUUUACCAGUGCAGGAACAGUGUGAUUUGUGCACAGUGCAUACAGUUUGUACAUAUAGGUAUUUAGGCUUGCCAUAACAAAGUGGUUGAAGAGUUAUUGACUCAAGACAUUUCAGCUUUUAAUUCCACUUUGACAUUAUACAAUAUUGUGUUUAGAUCAGUGACACCAAACCUCAAUUUAAUCAAAUUCAGGCUACAACAACACAACAAAAUCUGUAAAAAGCAAAGGGGUUUGAAUACUUUCUGAAGGCACUUUAGCUGUUGUGUAAUGUAUAAUGUUUGCAUAGAAAUGUCAAUGAGGGCAUUCUACAACGUUGGUGGCAGUUUGCCAAUGUGGCAAUGAUAAAGAAAUAAUAUAGUUAACUGUAUUAUGGUUCAACAGUCAUAAUCUAGUAUGACUAGAAUUGCAAAGGGAGGGUAUAUUUCUGGAAACCUUCACAUUUACCAGUAAACUGCCGGAAUGUUGGGUUCUUUCAACGAUGUUAUGUAAUCUAUUGCAAAACAUGUAGUGGCCCAUUUGGGUACUUCAGAUGUCUGUAAUAAUCUCUGACCCUCUGUGUGACUUUAUCACAUGUAAAAUAUAUGAAAUAAUGAAAUAAGAGAUUUAAAAAUAAAUAAUUCAAUGACAAAGCUGUAAAACAUUAUCCGAAAUAUAAACCAUCAACUUAGUGAACACAAUUGGUGUUUAAUAUGAGGGUUUCAGCAUGAAAUAUCCUUAAGAUUUCUUUUACACACUUUUAUUUAUUUGACUAUGUCAUUAUGUAUUUGUUGUCAAUGUUUGAGCUUCAAAUUGGUGGCAGUUGUUAGUAUAUGGAAGACAGUCAAUAGUUAGAAGAAUUGCAUUAAAAAUAAUGCCAUUGAAAAUAAUGGCAUUGGAAAUAAUGGCAUGGAAUAUAAUGCCAUUGAAUAUAAUGCCAUUGAAAAUAAUGCCAUUGAAAAUAAUGCCAUUGUUGAUCAGAUAAUUAUUAUUAAUUGACCAAUUUUCUCUUGAACUAUAUGGCCUAUUUACUAGAAACUCAUGGACAGAGUGGCAACAGAUAUAUAAAAAAUGAAUACUGUAUAUGAAUACAUUUCUAAAAAAGUUAUUCAAGUAUAAAUUACCAAAGUUACGAUAGAUUUUCUGUUCAUUACCAAAAUUCCUUAAGAUUCCAGUAACUUCAGUAAAUUACCAGUGGCUUUGCAACCCUAACUAUGACAUACUCUGAUAAAUCUAGACAUGACAGUAGUCUGAUUUCUGAAGUCAGUCCAGUUUUUCUGAUAUUCUUGUCACUGUGGUACUCUAGAAUACUAAAUUAUUGACAUCAUACUUUAGCGGUUUGAUGCAGCUGAGGCUUGACUUUGCGAUGGCCCAGUGCCAUACUUUUUAAAACUAACAGCGCAGAUCGCAUAACGUCAAUGAACUUUUGUAAAACCGCAGCCUCUUAAAUGAUAGUUUAGGUUCUUGGAUCAUAAAAAGGAAUGGUUUUGUAGCGUUUGGAUAAUUAUUAACAGUGACUUAGUCUACUGAUGUUGUUGGAGCAAUUAUUGAAUGAAACCAUCAAAAAAAUCUGUCAGGGUUGGUAAACACAGCAGUCAGUAAGUGCUUUUCUGGACCAGUAGCCUCCCCUAUUGACACUGUCCACAUCUGUGUUGCUCUUGUAAAUGAAAUGUUGAUAUUUGGAUGGCCAUCUCCAUCUUACAAGGCAGUUUUGGAUGUCAUAACUCUCUCUAAUACUGCCUGGUAAUGAUGAUGAUGACCCCCUGCAAGCAUCAUAGAGUCAACACAUAACACACAAACACAAUCCCGUUUAGCACUGCAUUUUCUUAGUCCUUGAGCCAGUGUGUAGUAAUAUCGUAUGAGUUGCUGGUAGCUUUGAGUAGUAUUCUAAGGGUUGUCUAGACUUAGAUAUGCUCUGAGUUGGAUAUAGAUAGAUAUAGUUAUGUGCUUUUGAUAUUCACUUUCUCUGGCUUCCAGGACACAUCUUACCUGACAGUGCUCGGCUGUACACAGAUGUUCUAACACUGUCUGGUAAUGAUGUUCCCUGAAAGACCUUCAAACAACCACAUCAAUAAUCCCAACAACCAAUAGGGGUGCAACGACACUGUAGCAUACCUGAAGCAGGAAGCAUUUGCUGUUUGUAAAUAGUUUUUGGUACAUUUUCUGGUCAAUGCUAUAUGUUUAAUAGUGAGGCCCUUGUCAUAGUUCAGCUGUAGACUCCAAAUCAGGUGAUCUCCAGUUUACAGUACAGCACAUGAAAAUAUGGAUGCUGUAGUAGGGUAGUUAUUUUUAAAGGACUACAUAGGUAAAUAAUAAGAUGAUGGAACAACUGGCUGGAGGAAGCAACCAGAACAGGUGGCACACACUAGAGAGUGAAGGCUGACAGAGAUAGUCCCAUAGGAAAAGAGAUUGACGCUGUCUGUGGUGAACACCUUCUGCCUAACCCCCCUUUUGUGAUAGGUAGUUCCUUCCUACCCCCUGCCUUUUGUGUAGAUUUUCCAUCCCACCCAGUAGUUAAAGAAUACCAGUGAAAUUACUGUUGCAGUAGGAGCCACUUCCUCUACCCCUCCCCCAGUCGGAGCUGAGCCUGUGCUUUAGUUGGCUUGUGAUUGGUCCAGCGCUACUGUACCAGCGUGGCAUAUUGUGUAGCUGACACCUGAGAUCUGUGUGAGAAAAAUAAACACAACGAUCUCUAUUGCUCUCCUACUCUCACUCUCUAUUUUCUUUUAUAACUCUCAACCUAUUUAUAACUCUCAACCAAUUGGCCUGUUUUUCUAUUCAACACAAUAUUUUUCAAGAAAAAGUGAAGGGAGACGAGGAACUAGGCGGCUCCCACCUGGUACUCUACCCUGUACCUUAGAGACAGCUGUACAUAGAGUCAUUAAAAACUGGUAACAUUAAUGUUUACAUACGGUUUUACCCACUCUAUAUGUAUAUACUGUAUUUUAGUCAUGGAUCAUCCUAUAUAACUACUGUUGUAUGCAUCUUUUCUAUUCAUAUGCUGUCUGACACACUACAUUAUAUGCAUACUGUAUACAGUACCAGUCAAAAGUUUAGACACACCUACUCAUUCAAGGGUUUUUCUUUAUAUUUACUAUUUUCUACAUUGUAAAAUAAUAAUGAAGACAUCCAAACUAUGAAAUAACACAUACAGAAUCAUUUAGUAACCAAAAAAAUGUUAGUGUUAUUUGAGAUUCUUCAAUGUAGCCACUCACAGGUUUGCACACUCUUGGCAUACUCUCAACCAGCUUCAUGACAGUCACCUGGAAUGCAUUUCAGUUAACAGGUGUUCCUUGUUAAAAGUUAAUUUGUGGAAUUUCUUUACUUCUUAAUGCGUUUGAGACAAUGUUGUGUUGUGACAAGGUAGGGGUGGUAUACAGAAGUUAGCCCUAUUUGGUGAAAGACCAAGUCCAUAUUAUGGCAAGAACAGCUCAAAUAAGCAAAGUAAAACGACAGUCCAUCGUUACUUUAAGACAUGAAGGUCUGUCCAUGCAGAAAAUUUCAAGAACUUUGAAAGUUUCUUCAGGCACAGUCACAAAAACCAUCAAGUGCUAUGAUGAUACUGGCUCUCAUGAGGACCGCCACAGGAAAGGAAGACCAAGAGUUUCCUCUGAUGCAGAGGAUAAAUUCAUUAGAGUUACCAACCUCAGAUUGCAGCCCAAAUAAAUGCUUCACAGAGUUCAAGUAACAGACACAUCUCAACAUCAACUGUUCAGAGGAGACUGCAUGAAUCAGGUCUUCAUGGCGGAAUUGCUGCAAAGAAACCACUACUAAUGGACACCAAUAAUAAUAAGAGACUUGCUUGGGACAAGGAACAUGAGCAAUGGACAUUAGACUGGUGUAAAUCUGUCCUUUGGUCUGAUGAGUGCAAAUAUGAGAUUUUUGUUUCCAACCACAGUGUCUUUGUGAGACGCAGAGUAGGUGAACAGAUGCUCUCUGCAUGUGUGGUUCCCACCGUGAAGCAUGGAGCAGGAGGUGUGGGGGUCUUUGCUGGUGACACUGUCAGUGAUUUAUUUAGAACUCAAGGCACACUUAACCAGCAUGGCUGUUGGAGAAGCAUUCCUCAUGAAGCUGGCUGAGAGAAUGCCAAGAGUGUGCAAAGCUGUCAUCAAUGCAAAGGGUGGCUACUUUGAAUAAUAUAAAAUACUUUUUUUGAUUACUACAUUAUUCCAUGUCUGUUAUUUCCUAGUUUUGAUGUCUUCACUAUUAUUCUACAAUGUAGAAGAUAUAUAAAAAUAAAGAAAAACCUUUGAAUGAGUAGGUGUGUCCAAACUUUUGACUGGUACUGUAUAUAUUUAUAUUCCAGUCUUUGACAUAGAAACUUCUCAUUAUUUCUUAUUUAUUUAUUUUUCUGGAUAAUGUGUAUAUUGUUUUGUUAUUUUGCAUUCUGCUGCACCUACAAUAAUUUCUGCAAAUCUGUGUGUGCGGCCAAUAAACUUUGAUUUGAAAAUGUAUGCACAGAUGACUAAUUCGCUUUGGAUAAAAGAGUCUGCUCGAUGGCAUAAUUAUAAUUUGAAUAAUUUUAUCAGACUGUGUGUUCUCAAACAAUAGGUUGACUGUACAAGUCAAUGGACAACAGAGAUAAAAGCACAAGGUGAUUGAGGUGUUUCAAAGGUGAUGUUUGUCAAGGGCUGUACUUCUGAGUUCUGGUUUAACACACAGAUAUCGAAUCACCCCUUUGCGUACUCAUUCUGCUCUCUGAAAUUGUAGGCCAAUUACAUAAUUCAUUUGCAUGUCCUUUUAAAGUUCAAAUUAUUGAAAGAUUGUGUCAUCUUGCCUUUUGACAUGUUUUGCUCCACUGAUAAACUAUUAACUCUUAUAGAUUUUUACAUUUUUCACCACUGGUACCUUGAUGUAUUUCUAUAAACUAUUCAAAUUCUCCAACAUUUCUGUCUUCUGUCUUCACAGCUUGUCUGUCAUCAAGCUGCUGUAGCUACAAAGACCCUGGCUACUUUCCUCUGAUGCUCCUACCUAAACCUUGUAAUUGUCGUCUUACCAGACAAGUUUAGAUCUAGCUACUCUGUCUAAUACUGUCUGGUAAUGCCGUCCAUUACAAGGUGUCUCAUCGCUCUUUCUCUGUCAGUCUCUUGGACAAUCCUGUACAAAUGAACUGGUAUCGGGUCAUGUGAUGUUUUUUCACCCCUCAAUGAUUUCUCCAGUUACUGGCUUAGAAUGUUUAAUUGCAGGUCCAUUUUUUAGUGGAAUUAUGUAUUUGUAUGUAAAAUGUCUUGAACAGAUAUUUGCUAACAGUAUUUUGUUGAUUAUGUUAAUAAAGGUCAUCAACGUUC